AUUGUUCGCCUGAGAACUACAAGCGUAAAACUUAAAACUCCAAGGACUUGGCGGUGCUCCAUAUCAACCUAGAGGAGCCUGUCCUAUAAUCGAUACUCCACGCUUAACCUUACCCCCCCUUGAAACCCAGCCUAUAUACCGCCGUCACCAGCCCACCUUAUGAAAGAAGUUAAGUGAGCACAACAAUUAUAAACUAACACGUCAGGUCAAGGUGUAGCACACGCGGGGGCAGAGAUGGGCUACAUUUCCUUCUAAGGAAACACGAACAGUGUUAUGAAACACCCACUCGAAGGCGGAUUUAGCAGUAAGACAAAUAAGAAUCCUGUCUCAAACCCGCUCUGGAGCGCGCACACACCGCCCGU
rnacentral:rRNA from 1 species